AGUGUUCAGUGAAACAGCCGCCGAGUCUACACUUUGCCUCGCCGACGUACAGGAGCCCACAUUAGGAACACCAAAUGCAGUGGAUGAUGCUAGAGGAGGUGCAUAUGAACCUUUGUCUCACCUGGAAGGACUCGCAAGUUUUGAGCUUUGAAGU